CGUAAACCGAGUUGCAGUUGUGCUAAUAAUAAUGGUGGUGAAUAGCAGGGGCAUCGGCGGGGGGAUUUUAAUUACCAAAGCGGUCCUAAGCCCCAUGUCAUGUGCUGCAAAAAAUUCACAGGGGAGGGGGAAAAAUCCUGGGCACUUCCUAAAAAUAAAGAGUCGUGUACGUGCUUAGCCUGCAAACAGCUGCGCUGACAUGUUCGACUGGGUCAACGCUUGAAUCAGUGCACAAAUCUCUAGUCUUUACAUUUCACUGUUUGGGCUCAGGACAAGGCAAAAUAAUCUGAAAGGAUUUAAACAUUUAGCCAAAAUAUGCAGGAGUAAAGAUUUGUGAAUGAUGCACAUAUAAACUGGUCUUUGUCUAGAUAUAAAAGGAGUAAAGUACAGUUAUCCAUUUAAUUUAGUACAGUAUUACUUUAAUAUUACAAAGUGAGACUUCAAUGAGCAGUGUAGGAAGCCAGGAUGACAUUAAUGUCAUUGAAAUGCAUCAUUAUUUAAAAAGAGUUUAAAGAGCGCUGCUCAAUUCAGGUCAGCUUGAUGCCACGUGCUGUGAACGUCAGGAUAGUGUCGCAUUUCAAAAAUCUCAAUGACACGCUGAUUGGUGGAAAGAGUAUCUGGGGUAAACAUGACUCUAUUCACACUGCAGGAAUGCCAUUCACAGCUUUAACCCACUUUAAAUCAGACGAAUCAUUUACCCCUCACCCCGUGAGUCACUGCAUUGUUGAUGGUUAUCCACACGGACAGAUCAUUACACAACUCCAUGUGAGAGACACGGAGAAUAAUGAGACAAUAAAACAUUACAGGCAAAGAUGUUUUUGUACUACAUCAAAAAGAAAGAGAUUAUAUAAAACUCAAGUGAUUGUCAACAUCAUCUAAUACGACAAAAGGUCCCACAGGAACGUUUUUUUUCUUUCUCUUCCCUUCUUUUGUUUCGGAGCAGUAGGUUGAAUAAACACAACUCUUUGUCUCUCCGGUUUCAUUUUUCCUUUAACCGUCUUCCGGUCUCAUGGCGAGAGCUGCUUUUGAUAUCCCAAGACAGGCGCUCUUGUUUUGCAUACUGUAGGUGCUGCAUUGACUUGUAUGAAAUCCUGGCCCUCAGGAAACGUGUCAGGGGGAUUGAUGACAGGGGCGGGUCUCGCUCUUUUCCCGUUGUCACGGCACCAGUCGUAAUGUAUUUUUGUCGGGCCUCGUGAGAGGGGAGCGGAGGGCCGGUGGGUGUGGUUUGAGACUCAGGACCUCCACGCAAGCCAAGCUCUUAUUUCCUCAUGCCCUGAUUUUCUGAGCCGAGCCGUCAGGGGAAAAAUGUAAAUAAUGUAUGGGGGAAGUGAAAGCAGCUCUGAGGCGGCCAUCCUAACACGCUAGACAGGAAAAAACAGUGGAGCGUAAAUCCAGCAGCGAGAGGAAGCAAAACUGGAACACUGUGGUGCGUUAGCGGUGUUGAGAGUUACACAAUGGGAUUGAGUUCUGCCUGUCUGUCUGAGAGUGUGUCACGUCUGGGGCUUGUGAGCAUCUUUCUCUGGGGAAGGUCAGACUCCAUCAGCCUGCCGUCAUGGAUGAUGAAGAUGUCUGCUGCCUGAGAAUGAGCUCUGUAAACAUGUAAUAUGUUUACUCAUCUAAUUUGACACUCUGACAGAAGGCCACUCACAGCAGAUUGCCUGAGACACACAGAACUGCCUGCACAAGCUGCUCUGAAUUACAGCCUGUUCAUCACAGUGACACAAUACAAGAAUGGCAUCAUUUGGGUUUGGAUUUCUGUCUGUUUUUAAAAGUGAAGACGCAGAAUUUGGUGUCCAGUAUCAGUGCUUAAAUACUUUUCCAAGCAUCAUCAUGAUUGCAUAAAAGAUUAUACUAGUUGAAAAUUUUGAAAGUCAGUCUUACAUCACAUACAUGUGUGCCCGGCUAUAAACUGAACACAUUUAUGUUUAACUUGUUAAGACCCUUAUUCUAUUAUUAUGAAUGUAGCCAUUGAUUGUUAUUGGCCGUCUGAAGCAGUGUUAAGCUGUUUUUGGCAUAUUUUUUUUGUGCUAUUUUAUAAAAAGUUUCAUAUAAUCCACUCAGAUUUGGACAUUAAAAUAUGUUGUACAAAUAUCAUUUUAACCAUAACAGCUAUGAUUGUUUCUGUUUUCCACAUUUUCAAAUGUAGUUUUGUAUUAUUUUUGUUGAAUAUGUGUUUUCCACAUACUUUGCCGGCCAGCUGUACUGAGGGAUUCCAGGUGCAAGUUACUAAGUCCAGGUGUGCUGGACAAAC